GGCUCGCGGCCUAUCAGCUUGUUGGUGGGGUGAUGGCCUACCAAGGCGGUGACGGGUAGCCGGCCUGAGAGGGUGACCGGCCACACUGGGACUGAGACACGGCCCAGACUCCUACGGGAGGCAGCAGUGGGGAAUAUUGCACAAUGGGCGGAAGCCUGAUGCAGCGACGCCGCGUGAGGGAUGACGGCCUUCGGGUUGUAAACCUCUUUCGGUAGGGAAGAAGCCUUCGGGUGACGGUACCUGCGGAAGAAGCGCCGGCUAACUACGUGCCAGCAGCCGCGGUAAUACGUAGGGCGCAAGCGUUGUCCGGAAUUAUUGGGCGUAAAGAGCUCGUAGGCGGCCUGUCGCGUCUGCUGUGAAAGCCCGGGGCUUAACUCCGGGUCUGCAGUGGGUACGGGCGGGCUGGAGUGCGGUAGGGGAGACUGGAAUUCCUGGUGUAGCGGUGGAAUGCGCAGAUAUCAGGAGGAACACCGGUGGCGAAGGCGGGUCU
rnacentral:rRNA from 1 species